CAAUAGCGUAUAUUAAAGUUGUUGCAGUUAAAAAGCUCGUAGUUGGAUUUCGGGGCAGCCUGGCUGGUCCGCCGCAAGGCGAGUACUGGUCAGCCGCCCUUCCUCUCGAAAGCCCCGACUGCUCUUCGUUGCAGUGGUCGGGUAGUUCGGGACGUUUACUUUGAAAAAAUUAGAGUGUUCAAGGCAGGCCUACGCCUGAAUACAUUAGCAUGGAAUAAUGGAAGAGGACCUCGGUCCUAUUUUGUUGGUUUCCAGGGCCGAAGUAAUGAUUAAGAGGGACAGUUGGGGGCAUUCGUAUUUAAUUGUCAGAGGUGAAAUUCUCGGAUUUAUGAAAGACGAACAACUGCGAAAGCAUUUGCCAAGGAUGGUUUCAUUAA
rnacentral:rRNA from 1 species